rnacentral:lncRNA from 1 species
UUUUAAUGAAAUUUUACAGAAGGCCCCCAUAUCAAACAUAGACAUGAGAUGGGAAGAUUGUGUCCUUUCAACAUUCUUGCUCCAGUGGGUUAAGAUCUCUCCAACUACUCCCUUGAUUUGAGAUGUGACACCUCAAACUGGACGUUAUUGCUCUGAUAGCUUUGUUAAUGGUCAGGGCAAGGAGAUGAUUUUGCAUCCUGAGAUGAUCUGUUGGGGCUGGUAGUGAUCCCAGUUCGGGCACCACUGAGAAGAAGAUGCAGAACACUUUUGGAAGAAGCUGUGAAACCAUGAUGGGGGAGAAUGAGCAGCUGCUGCAAGGAAAUGGGUCUUAAUGGA